GAACUGUUUUGCAAUUGUUUGGAUGGAUUAGUAUUUUUUCAUUUCAGAUAUUUUAUUGUUGCUGACAGUGGAAUGUGUCUUUAUUCAUGUUUUACAUACAAUGGACCUGAUUUAUAUUAAUGGUGCAGCUAUGAUAAAUAAUAAGGAAUUUUAAAGAAAUAUGGCAACCAGUUGUCAAGAACUUUCAAAAUGGCUUGUUCCGAAUGUUAGGAUCAUUUUCAAGAAAAUGUCUUUUUCAAAAGUAUUGCAUCUUCCUUUCAGAAACAUAAUUGCAGACUGCCUCUACUGGUUUGCAUCAUCAAGAUGGAGGAGGAGGAUGGUGAUGGUGAUGGUGAUGAAGGUAGUGAUGAUGUUGGCACUGAUGGAGUAUGGUGAAGAUGAUGGGACCUUGUUGGUUUGUGAAAAGAAGAUCCUUGAACCAUUUCCGAGAAGAAGAACAAGGGGGGACAGUGGAGGGACAAUGGAGGGAUGGACAGAUGACAGACACAGGCUAACAGAGAUAUUCUGUCCCAGUGAGACUGUCCAACAGACUUGAAAAGCACAAAUUUGAUUGAGAAUGGUUGAAAGCCUAGAAAGCUGAGAGCAUCAGCUGAUGACAUCUGCUGUUGUCUGCUGCUCGUUCUGUCACAAUAAAUACACAAACUGUCGUCUGCUACACAGACCUGUGACCGUCUGCCAUUGUCGUCUGCUUCUGUUGCCUUUCAAAGCUUUCAAAAAGUGAUGUCGCUUCACAACUUGGAACAAGUUUUGACUGAAGACUUUCGAGAAGUUUAUCCUCCCUUCACCAGUGUCGUCUGCUUGAGUCUCCAGCCUCUCUCCCGCUACCUCUCACGCCUCUAUUAUUUACUGGUCAUCCCCCAAUGAUUCAUGAAGCUAAAUCCUAAUUGUGUGUAGCACCCAGGGAGAAGGAGUAACAUGAUGAGGUGCCCACGUCCUUAUGAGGAAAUAUGAUGUUAACAUCCCAACAAAGUGAAGUACUCCAACUGGAACUAUUUUGGAUAUUUAUGGCACUCCAGAUUAACAAUUGUUCACAUGGGGUUUUCGCUUGACAUCGGAACAAAGUGCAGAUGUGGGUUGCAAAUUUGAGGCAGAUUUUGUUUCAUGGCCUUACAUGUGAUAAUUGAUCUUUUGGGGGCAGUAAUGAUUUUAUGAGGAUUUGGAAGUUUAUGGGGGUGAUUAACAGUCCCAGAACACUGACCAUUGCCUGGAAGUCUGGAGAGAUGUCUCGUCUUUGGAAUCGGUCAAAUAUUUCAUGAUGAAUUAUUAUUUGUUCAUUUAUGAAAGUGUUAAAUGUUGAGUAAUAGAAUAAAUAUUGAAGUAUUAAUCAAUGUUGAUUUCAAUCAUGAAAUAUCUGUCUUAUUCUAUGGCCGACUAGUAGUGACAUCAGCAAUAAUAUAAUAACCUUAUGGAGUUCCGAAAGACGAUAAAACAGCAGAUGUAGAGUUACUUCCCUUCUUCAAAUAUCCUUACAAGAAAUAUUCUUUUAGAUUGUUAAAUGAUCUGCAAUUGUAUGUUCCUGAAUAAUACCCUUGAGUUCA